UUGUUGUCUUUAGGUCUCUUUAUGUAGUGUUGUGUUGUCCCUUGUCAUGGUGUGCGUUUUGUCCUAUAUAUUUUUUUUAACAGGUUCUCUUUCCAAGUUUGUUGACAAGGAACUCUCGCGAUAGUUAUUCACAAAGUCGAGGUACGUCAGCGAUAUUGGAAAAGGAGUAUCUCUGGGUACGUUCCAGAACAGAGCUAGCUUGUAUAGCGAUCCGUCUAAUUGUCUGGUUUUGUCGAUACGUAUAAUUGUUGAGGAAUAUAUAUCACCUUAUAUGCAUUAACUAUUAACGGUGGAGCAACUGGACAUGCUUAGUUGUCUGCUAGCAAGUGUGACAACAGUGAAGAAGACUCACCACGCGUUAGCUACAAUGUAGCAACGACGAACGCUUGCUACUUAUUAUUUGCUAUACACUAAUGUUAUUGCCAGCUAUAUGCAGGAUUAACUUAGACAACGAAGUUUUAUUUUUGACCAGGCCAAGAUCAGCAAGUGAUACUUGCAAACUGAGUAUCGUUAGCUAUGAAUAUCAAGCUAUUUUGCUACUUUCUUUGCUAAUUGUAUAACAAGCUAAUAGUCUGUUUUGUAGCUACAGUCACUAUUAUGUCCAAUUUGAAUGAUCGAUGGCACUCACUGUAAACAGAAGGGUUUUCAAGUACCUAUUUUCUGAAUACUUCUUUCACAUUAGCCACCACAAUGAGAUUAAAGACAUCAUUACUCAAGGAACCAAAACAUAUCCUUUUCAAUUGUGUGAAUGAUAGAAAGAUACUACAACAGUGCUUUGACUUGAUUGUUGGUCUUUUCUGUUGAAAAAAUAUGGACAGUCAGCAAUCAUGAAUUAAAAAUAUAUUAUGAAGUUGUGCCUCUAAUAACAUACUAGAGGCACAACUUCUGGUCCAGGGGGUUAGUACCCGUUGCUCUAACACCAUGGACCAAAGCUAGGGCUGCCUGAGCCAUGAUAUUCAGUACACCUUGCACCACCAGCCCUGGGUUCAAAUACUAUUUGAAAGCGUUCAAAUAUUUUUAGUGUUUGCUCUACCCUGCCCCAGGUUUGCAGUUUUGGGACUAUUCUAAUGGUUCAUGAAGCCCACUAAGCUCAAUCAAGCACUGAUAAAGUAUAGAUUUCAAAUAGUGUUUGAACCCAAAUCUGACUGGAACCUUUUUACUAAAGGCAUGCUUUUUGCAACCAAUAUGGAGAUGAAAAGAUUUUCUAUGUGCUAUUUGUGAUCACAUCUGUGUGUGGAUCUCACCUACCUCAAUACAAAGAAAGGUGAAUACAGGAUCUGUGUUCAUUCAUUCGGCUGAAAGCAACCACUGUGUUUGAGUCUACUGCGGCCUCCAACCCUGGACCCGAAGAGUUAGUCUACAGGGUGUGAAAACGUUUGUACCAGAUUAAUGCGAACAUACCUGGUUCAAGUAAUUAAGAUGAGAUAUGUUGCAGCAACCACUGAUCUAUUUCCAUAUUACCAUUGUCCUCCUUAACACCUGGACACACAAAGAGCUUGUGAGCUGUGUGGGCUGGACCACUGCAGACGAGUUGUACUCCUGCAGUGAGGACCACCAGAUCCAAAGAUAGAACCUGCUGACCAGUGAGAUCAGCCUGGUGGUGAAGGUGCAGGAGGACCUCUUCCCCAUUGACCUGCACUGGUUCCCCACGGCGGUGGGAGGCAAGAAGAGAUCUUUGUGCUCACCAGUACUGACGGCAAGUCACCAAUAAUGAUUUUCUCGUAAGAGAUUUUGAUAACCAAAAAGUGCUAAACAUGUUUAUGGCACCGUUAACAUAGAAAAUAAAUGUUGAAUUUUAAAACUGAUACUUUCUCACAUUAUUCAACAAGACAGAUUGAUAUUGAAUUAGGUAGGUGAAAGAGGAUAUGAGUCCCAUGGUACAUAACUGCAUGGUUUGUGUGAAAUGUCUCUGGUUGACAAGCUCUUUGUAUGUCCAGAUGUUAAGUGGUAUACUACGAAGCAAGUUAGAUCUACUCAGGCUUUUAUAAAGCUAGCCAUCUUCAGUUUGCUGCACAUUCCUGGUCAGGUUUCAGCCGUACUAUGAAGGUGGAUAUUGCUCAUCCGCCUGCCGCUGACUCAAACAGGUAUGUCGCACGUGGUUACUCAAACGUCAAGCCCUUUGAAACAAUGCUGAAACAUCAAUCCAUGGGCGAGUCAGUGACACAUUUAAAUUUGUGUCGAAAUCAAAAUGAAAGAAAAUAUAUCUUGAAAAUUCAGCAGGCUAUGGUGUGAAAUAGCUUUUUAGUAGUGCCAUCUUUAUUUUAUUACUUAUCGUCAAUGUCGGAUUUGGUGUUUGCUCAUUUAUUACAUUUAAAACUGAAAUAUUAUAUUUACAGUCAUGGCCAAAAGUUUUGAGAAUGACAAAAAAAUAUACAUUUUCACAAAGUCUGCUGCCUCAGUUUGUAUGAUAGCAAUUUGCAUAUACUCCAGAAUGUUAUGAAGAGUGAUCAGAUGAAUUGUAAUUAAUUGCAAAGUCCCUCUUUGCCAUGCAAAUGAACUGAAUCCCAAGAAAACAUUUCCACUGAAUUUCAGCCCUGCCACAAAAGGACCAGCUGAUAUCAUGUCAGUGAUUCUCUCGUUAACACAGGUGUGAGUGUUGACGACAAGGCUGGAGAUCACUCUGUCAUGCUGAUUGAGUUCGAAUAACAGACUGGAAGCUUCAAAAGGAGGGUGGUGCUUGGAAUCAUUGUUCUUCCUCUGUCAACCAUGGCUACCUGCAAGGAAACAUCAUUGCUUUGCACAAAAAGGGCUUCACAGGCAAGGAUAUUGCUGUCAGUAAGACUGCACCUAAAUCAACCAUUUAUCGGGUCAUCAAGAACUUCAGGGAGAGCGAGAGCGGUUCAAUUGUUGUGAAGAAAUCCAGCAAGCAUCGUCUCCUAAAGUUGAUUCAGCUGCGGGAUCGGGGCACCACCAAUACAGAGCUUGCUCAGGAAUGGCAGCAGGCAGGUGUGAGUGCAUCUGCAUGCAUAGUGAGGCGAAGACUUUUGAAGGAUGGCCUGGUGUCAAGAAGGGCAGCAAAGAAGCCACUUCUAUACAGGAAAAACAUCAGGGAUAUUCUGCAAAAGGUACAGGGAUUGGACUGCUGAGGACUGGGGUAAAGUCAUUUUCUCUGAUGAAUCCCCUUUCCGAUUGUUUGGGGCAUCCAUCCGGAAAAAAGCUUGCCAGGAGAAGACAAGGUGAGCGCUACCAUCAAUCCUGUGUCAUGCCAACAGUAAAGCAUCCUGAGACCAUUCAUGUGUGGGGUUGCUGCUCAGCCAAGGGAGUGGGCUCACUCACAAUUUUGCCUAAGAACACAGCCACGAAUAAAGAAUGGUACCAACCAUCCAGGAACAGUUUGGUGACAAAUAAUGCCUUUUCCAGCAUGAUGGAGCACCUUGCCAUAAGGCAAAAGUGAUAACUAAGUGGCUCAGAGAACAAAACAUCGAUAUUUUGGGUCCAUGGCCAGGAAACUCCCCAGACCUUAAUCCCAUUGAGAACUUGUGGUCAAUCCUCAAGAGGCGGGUGGACAAACAAAACCCCACAAAUUCUGACAAACUCCAAGCAUUGAUUAUGCAAGAAUGGGCUGCCAUCAGUCAUGUGACCCAGAAGUUAAUUGACAGCAUGCCAGGGCGGAUUGCGGAGGAAAAAGAAGGGUCAACACUGCAAAUAUUGACUCUGCAUCAACUUCAUGUAAUUGUCAAUAAAAGCCAUUGACACUUAUGAAAUGCUUGUAAUUAUACUUCAGUAUUCCAUAGUAACAUCUGACAAAAAUAUCUAAAGACACUGAAGCAGCAAACUUUGUGAAAAUUAAUAUUUGUGUCAUUCUCAAAACAUUUGGCCACGACUGUACAUAAUUAUUCAGACCCUUUACUCAGUACUUUGUUGAAGCACCUUUGGCAGCGAUUACAGCCUUGAGUCUUAUUAGGUAUGAUGCUAUAAGCUUGGCACACCUGUAUUCGGGGAGUUUUUCCCAUUCUUCUCUGCAUAUCCUCUCAAGCUCUGUCAGGUUGGAUGGGGAGCGUUGCUACACAGCUAUUUUCAGGUCUCUCCAGAGAUGUUCGAUCGGGUUCAAGUCCAGGCUCUGGCUGGGCCACUCAAGGACAUUCAGAGACUUGUACCGAAGCCACUCCUGAUUUGUCUUGGCUGUGUGCCUAGGGUCGUUUGUAGGUGAACCUUCGUCCCAGUCUGAGGUCCUGAGCACUCUGGAGCAGGUUUUCAUCAAGGGUCUCUCUGUACUUUGCUCCGUUCAUCUUUGCCUCGAUCCUGACUAGUCUCCCAGUCCCUGCCGCUGAAAAACAUCCACCCCACAGAAUGAUGCUGCUACCAACAUGCUUCACCGUAAGGAUGGUGCCAGUGACGCUUGGCAUUCAGGCCAAAGAGUUGUCUUGGUUUUAUCAGACCAGAGAAUCUUGUUUCUCAUGGUCAGAGUCUUUAGGUGCCUUUUGGCAAACUACAAGUGGGCUGUCAUGUGCCUUCUACUGAGGAGCAGGUUUCGUCUGGCCACUCUACCAUAAAUGCCUGAUUGGUGGAGUGCUGCAGAGAUGGUUGACCUUCUGGAAGGUUCUCCCAUCUCCACAGAGGAACUAAGAGCUCUGUCAGAGUGACCAUCGGCUUCUUGGUCACCUCACUCACAAGGCCCUUCUCCCCCGAUUGCUCAGUUUGGCAUGGCGGCCAGCUCUAGGAAGAGUCCCCAGAUCUGUGCCUCUACACAAACAUGUCUCGGAUCUCUACGGACAAUUCCUUUGACCUCAUUGCUCGGUUUUUGCUCUGACAUGCACUGUCAACUGUGCGAUAUUAUAUAGACAGGUGUGUGCCUUUCCAAAUCAUAUCCAAUCAAUUGAAUUUACCACAGGUGGACUAAAUCAAGUUGUAGAAACAUCUCAAGGAUGAUCACUGGAAACAGGAUGCACCUGAGCUCAAUUUCGAGACUCAUAGCAAAGGGUCUGAAUACAUAUGUAUGUAAGGUAUUUCUGUUUUUUGGUUUUAAUAAAUUUGCAAACAUUUCUAAAAACUUGUUUUCGCUUUGUCAUUAUUGGGUAUUGUGUAUAGAUUGAUGAGGAAGUGGUUUUAUUUAAUCUAUUUUAGAAUAAGGCUGUAACGUAACAAAACGUGGGAAAAGUAAAGGGGUCUGAAUACUUUCUGAAGGCCCUGUAUUUAUAAUCCAUAGAAGGGUUUGGAAGUCUCUAACCCUGGUAAUUUGACUGUUAAACUCAUGCGUACACUAACAAUGGCUGCCUGUCUUGACUUGAAUGGGAACUUCCAUCUAUGCAUUACACUGUAUGUCUAUGGUUGGUUGCGGCUGUCGGUUUGCCUUCUUUCAAUCACGGGAAAAAUGUACAGUUUGGAAAGCAAAUGCUGUCUACUAAAUGUGUAAUGCGAUAUAUAUUUUAACAUUACUUUUUUACACGCGAAAAAACAUUUGAAUAAAAUAUUUGAUCUGCCGUCUUCCUCAGAUGAAGAGGAUGAUGACACAAUCUUUGCGAGAGGGAUGAUAUCUGAUUUCAUUGGUCCUCAACUCAUGGCUCAGACACUUCAUUCAGGAUAAAUGGAGUUAGCCCUGAGUUAGCCUGCCCGGAUCAGGUAAGCUCCACCUGGCCUCUUAAGAUGGGCCGUAUUGAGAAGAGUGCGGAGGCCCACAAAAGGAGCUGUGUUAGCCAGGAGAUGGAACUACGACGGGACCGCUCUCAUCACAGCUGGAGAGGACGGGCACGUCAAGAUCUGGUCUAAGAGUGGCAUGCUGAGGUCCACCUUGGUCCACCUUAUCCUUUCAAACACUCAGCUCAGAAAUGACUGUAUUUCAAAACAAAUUUGGAGUGCAGCAGACUCGUAGUGCAUAGCCACACUUUGUUUUGAAACAAAUGUAGCCACCAAUAUUGUCCCUUUUAACAAUUUCCUGUUUUGUCAGAAUGGGGCCCUGUAGUUUUUGUGGUGCAGUUGCUCCACAGUGUAGAGCCAGCAUUGCACUCUCUCUGUGUGAAGAGGUGUAUGUGAGCGUGUGUGUGUGUAUGCUAAUCUUCCAGCCCGGUGUUGUCAGCAUGCUUCGGUUCAGCUGGCGCCUAGUCGAACUGAACAACUGUGCUCGCAUACUCCCUUAAAAUACCUUUGCGGCAAUAGUUCUGUUUGUUCUUCUUCAUAUGCCAUAGCCAGUAUACGCUUCCUCAAAAUAGUCAGAAUUAAUCCCACAAUAACUCAAGAAAUCUGUAAUUAUUUUGACAUAUAUUCCAAGGACAUUUUAGUCGCGCAAUUUUACAUCUAACUAAGAUGUUUGGUUCAGUAUUUCUCAAGUGAAAAAAUUUGCAUGAAAACAACAAAUACUUCAUUGAAGAAUCCCUACUGUUGACCCAAUCAACAGGGCAUAGACUUCGUCUACUGACUUCGGUUUGCCUCAAGGGAAAAAAAUGUUGUGUGCGCGAACAGUCGACAAAACCCUCGCUGAAGACCAAAUGGAACUUAAACAUCCCAAAAUGUCAUCAUAAUAUAUGCACAAACUGUUUUGGAUAGGAAGCAUGUUGGACGCCUGCUGGUGCUGUGUGGUUAACACUAACAUGUCCCUGUCUGUAAAGUCACCUACAGGUGGUUCUGUUACUCUCUAACAGAACCAGUCCAAGUACUGAAUGUGCUUUUACACACAACAUGUAUAUUGAUAUUGGCUUUCACUGAAUUAAUCACUGUACUUAUUGAAUGAAUCACUGAACUAAUUUUGAAAUCUCAAUUUGGAACUAGGAUGUUAUUUCACUAUCCAUGUGUGAUUGAGGAUGCACGCUAUUAAUCAUAGGGGUUGAGUGUGUCACCCUGGUGCUUUCUCAUGCCGUCGGUAGUUCUCUCACACUCUGGUGUGCCCAGUCAGAGGACCUGCUGCGGCUGUGGCUUGGGCCGGGCCUGGGACAGUUGUAAUGAGGUCAAACCCAUGAACACAGCCACGUGAGUUACAGAGAGAUAGAUUGCACUGGUGGACAUUUUGUAAACAUAAGGCAACACAGCCUCCAAUUAUAUUCUCACACACAGACCGCAGUGUUCAUUAAGGCCUCUUCUGCUUUUGAGGGCACCUCACUGGAUGAGAGAGAGAGAGAGAGAGAAUGGGAUCUGAUGAAAAGGGAAAAGGCUUGUCAAAUAGGGGUACAAUACUGUUCAUGUGUAUUCAGGGAGCCCUUCCCUCUGUGCCAUGACACAAACAUUUCUCUGCUUAAACUGAGCUUUUGGUUGACCCCAAGUGGAGCAUGAUGCGCUGCCAUUAGACAGCUCUGAGAACAGAGGUUAUAUAGUAAUCUAGGUAAUGUCGUCACCGUACAUAUAGAUAGACUAAUACAGUUUAAAGCACUCCAGGAUAUACCUCAUGUAUACCUCAAUUUUUUGACUUUCAAAUUUACUUCCACAGUCGGGAUUUGUGUGUGUGCGUACAGUGUGUGUCUGUGUGUAUUUGAAACUGCUGUAAACUAGGCCGGUGCGAUGAUCUGAAAGAUGGCCUUUGUGUUAACAGUGAUUUACUCCAGCCAGAUGAUUUAAGAUGACAAUCUGGCAGAGGGAGGUGUGUGUGUGUGUGUGUGUGUGUGUGUGUGUGUGUGUGUGUGUGUGUGUGUGUGUGUGUGUGUGUGUGUGUGUGUGUGUGUGUGUGUGUGUGUGGACUAUUAGGGUGUAAUGCUGCUGGAUACAGUUGAAAUUGCAGCCAAUCCUCCAGUUCCAUUUUUAUUAAAAGCACCAUAAAGAUUUAAAGGUUUA